AUACGGAGGCCGCGAGCGUUAUCCGGAUUCAUUGGGUUUAAAGGGUGCGCAGGCGGGAGAUUAAGUCGGCGGGGAAAUUUUGCAGCUCAACUGUAAAAGGGGCUUCGAAAAUGGUUUCCUUGAGUGUAGAUGAAGUAGGCGGAAUUUGUGGUGUAGCGGGGAAAUGCAUAGAUAUCAUGAAGAACUCCGAUUGCGAAGGCAGUCCGCUGGGGCACGUCUGACGCUGAUGCUCGAAGGUGCGGGAAUCAAACAGGAUUAGAUACCCUGGUAGUCCGCACGGUAAACGAUGAUUACCCGCUGUCGGCGGCAGACAGUCGGCGGCCAAGCGAAAGCGAUAAGUAAUCCACCUGGGGAGUACGCCGGCAACGGUGAAACUCAAAGGAAUUGACGGGG
rnacentral:rRNA from 1 species